rnacentral:rRNA from 1 species
UAGUGAUUAGAGUUUGAUCAUGGCUCAGAUUGAACGCUGGCGGCAUGCCUUUACACAUGCAAGUCGAACGGCAGCACGGGAGCAAUCCUGGUGGCGAGUGGCGAACGGGUGAGUAAUACAUCGGAACGUGCCCAGUAGUGGGGGAUAACCCGGCGAAAGCCGGACUAAUACCGCAUACGACCUACGGGUGAAAGCAGGGGAUCGCAAGACCUUGCGCUAUCGGAGCGGCCGAUGUCAGAUUAGCUUGUUGGCGGGGUAAAAGCCCACCAAGGCGACGAUCUGUAGCUGGUCUGAGAGGACGACCAGCCACACUGGGACUGAGACACGGCCCAGACUCCUACGGGAGGCAGCAGUGGGGAAUUUUGGACAAUGGGCGCAAGCCUGAUCCAGCCAUGCCGCGUGCGGGAAGAAGGCCUUCGGGUUGUAAACCGCUUUUGUCAGGGAAGAAACGCUCCGGGUUAAUACCCCGGAGUAAUGACGGUACCUGAAGAAUAAGCACCGGCUAACUACGUGCCAGCAGCCGCGGUAAUACGUAGGGUGCAAGCGUUAAUCGGAAUUACUGGGCGUAAAGCGUGCGCAGGCGGCUUUGCAAGACAGAUGUGAAAUCCCCGGGCUUAACCUGGGAACUGCAUUUGUGACUGCAUGGCUGGAGUGCGGCAGAGGGGGAUGGAAUUCCGCGUGUAGCAGUGAAAUG